AAUCUACCUGUCCUCCACUGAUCUCUCUCCGCCCACCUUGACUCGUGUUUCUGACUGCCUCUCUGCUAUUUCCAACUGGAUGGCUGCUUACUUCCUUAAACUCAAUUUGUCCAAAACAGAACUUCUAGUUUUUCCUCCCUCAAGUGCUGCUACUCCUGUGUCGGUCUCCAUCCAAGUCAACGGCGCUACUAUCACCUCUACCUUGCAGGCUCGCUGCCUAGGGGUUCUUUUUGAUUCUGAUCUCUCUUUUACUCCCCAUGUCCAAUCCAUAGCCAAAUCCUGUUGCUUCAAACUCAAGAACAUAG